UAAAUUAAAUUUUAAUAUUAAAAUUUCUCGAAAUUUAAGGGGCUAAAAAGUUAUAUAUUUUAAUGUGUAAUAAUUAUUUAAAAUAGCUUUUUUGUAAUUAUACGUUAGUCGUAUUAAAUUAUAUCUAGUUUUCUUAGAAAUGAAUUUAAUUCAUUUUAUUAUUAAAAACUUUCUUAAUUAUAUAAUAAGGUUUUUUUAAUAAGUUAAUAAUUUAAGGGAUAAGCUUUAAAUUAAAUUAUUAUAAUUUAAGAUUUAAUAUUUACUAAUAGGAUUAGAAGUUUCCAUUUAUAGAAAUGUGUUAUAACUAGUAAAUAAAAAAUAUAAUUUUCUUUAGGUUUAAGUUUUCUAUAAGAACAACUAAAUUAAUAUUUAAUUUAGUAAGAUAAUGAUAAAAUUAGUAUAAAAUAUUGUAUAAAUAAUUUAUUUAAUUUAGGUUAGAAAAAGGAACUCGGCAACUUAGUUUUCUGCCUGUUUAAUAAAAACAUGUCCUUUUGAAUAUAUAUAAGGUCUGACCUGCCCAAUGAUUUUUAAAUGGCCGCGGUACUUUGACCGUGCAAAGGUAGCAUAAUCAUUAGUUUUUUAAUUGAAAGCUGGAAUGAAUGGUUAGACAAGAAAUCGACUGUCUCUUUUUAAUUUUUAUUAGAAUUUUAUAUUUAAGUCAAAAAGCUUAAAUUUUUUUAAGGGACGAGAAGACCCUAUAGAAUUUUAUAGUUAAUUUAAUAUUAAUUUUAUAGUUUAAUUUUAUUUAUUUUAUUUUAGCUAUUUUGUUGGGGUGACAGGAAAAUAUAGUUAACUUUUCUUUUUCUUUAUCAUAAAUAAAUGAUUAAUUGAUCCAUUUUUAAUGAUUAAAAGACCAAAUUACCUUAGGGAUAACAGCGUAAUUAAUUUGGAGAGUUCUAAUCGAUAAAUUAGAUUGCGACCUCGAUGUUGGAUUAAAAUUAACUUUAGGUGUAGAAGCUUAUUAGUUAAGUCUGUUCGACUUUUAAAAUUUU
rnacentral:rRNA from 1 species